rnacentral:snRNA from 1 species
CAGUGUUACAGUUCUUUUAGAUUUUGUCUAGCAGGCUUUCUGUUUUUUGUUAAAAUCCUCC